rnacentral:rRNA from 1 species
GACGAACGCUGGCGGCGUGCUUAACACAUGCAAGUCGAACGGAAAGGCCCUGCUUUUGUGGGGUGCUCGAGUGGCGAACGGGUGAGUAACACGUGAGUAACCUGCCCUUGACUUUGGGAUAACUUCAGGAAACUGGGGCUAAUACCGGAUAGGAGCUCCUGCUGCAUGGUGAGGGUUGGAAAGUUUCGGCGGUUGGGGAUGGACUCGCGGCUUAUCAGCUUGUUGGUGGGGUAGUGGCUUACCAAGGCAUUGACGGGUAGCCGGCCUGAGAGGGUGGCCGGCCACAUUGGGACUGAGAGACGGCCCAGACUCCUACGGGAGGCAGCAGUGGGGAAUAUUGCACAAUGGGCGGAAGCGUGAUGCAGCAACGCCGCGUGCGGGAUGACGGCCUUCGGGUUGUAAACCGCUUUAGCCUGUGACGAAGCGUGAGUGACGGUAAUGGGUAAAGAAGCACCGGCUAACUACGUG